UCUAGCGGCGGACGGGUGAGUAACGCGUGGGAACGUGCCCUUUGCUACGGAAUAGUCCCGGGAAACUGGGUUUAAUACCGUAUGUGCCCCCCAUCGUAGUGAUGGCGGGGGAAAGAUUUAUCGGCAAAGGAUCGGCCCGCGUUGGAUUAGGUAGUUGGUGGGGUAAUGGCCCACCAAGCCGACGAUCCAUAGCUGGUUUGAGAGGAUGAUCAGCCACACUGGGACUGAGACACGGCCCAGACUCCUACGGGAGGCAGCAGUGGGGAAUAUUGGACAAUGGGCGAAAGCCUGAUCCAGCAAUGCCGCGUGAGUGAUGAAGGCCUUAGGGUUGUAAAGCUCUUUUACCCGGGAUGAUAAUGACAGUACCGGGAGAAUAAGCUCCGGCUAACUUCGUGCCAGCAGCCGCGGUAAUACGAGGGGAGCUAGCGUUAUUCGGAAUUACUGGGCGUAAAGCGCACGUAGGCGG
rnacentral:rRNA from 1 species